rnacentral:rRNA from 1 species
UACGGGGGGGGCAAGCGUUGUUCGGAAUUACUGGGCGUAAAGGGCUCGUAGGCGGCCCACUAAGUCCGACGUGAAAUCCCCAGGCUUAACUUGGGAACUGCGUCGGAUACUGGUGGGCUUGAAUCCGGGAGAGGGAUGCGGAAUUCCAGGUGUAGCGGUGAAAUGCGUAGAUAUCUGGAGGAACACCGGUGGCGAAGGCGGUUCUCUGGGCCUUACCUGACGCUGAGGAGCGAAAGCGUGGGGAGCGAACAGG